rnacentral:siRNA from 1 species
GUCAUCUACUCACAUGUUCGCCAC